UGCUAUGAUGAUGAGAUCAAAUAAUCUCGUUAAUCUGAAUUAUAUUCAUGUGGAUAACAUUCUCAUCCAUUCAUUUUUUCUGAGC
rfam:Lupinus angustifolius cultivar Tanjil contig_2193, whole genome shotgun sequence.